rnacentral:tRNA from 1 species
UCCGGGGUAGCUCAACUGGCAGAGCGGCUGGCUGUUAACCAGUAGGUUGCGGGUUCGAGUCCCGCCCCCGGAGC